CCCCACCCCGUCCGGAUGGAGCCCCCCCAAAGGUCAGGCGCCCUGUAAUUAACACCGGGGGGUUAAUUAGUGCCGGGUUCACACCAAAAAGGGGUUAAUAAUUGAGUUAUUUACUCUGAGACUCUGCAGGAGGUUCAGGACUUUGUGGGAGUUGUUUAAUUAACUUGGGGGCUGUUAAUUACCGCUAGGGGCUGUUAAUUACCCCUUGGGGGUGCUAAUUACCCUCAGGGGAGAACCCACAAUAUUUCCUUGAAAGAGAAAUUAUUCAUUGCAAACCGAGUAAUGAAGAGAAUUUACUUAAGGACGGAGUGGGUAUUAAUUACCUCGGGAGGGCAUUAAUUACCCUGGGCAGGUUUCAGUUCCCUCGGGGGGGGGGGGCUGUUAAUUACCCCUUGGAGGUGUUAAUUACUCUCUGGGGGUGUUAAUUACUCUCGGGGGAUGCCAAAACUUCCUUGAAAGAGAAAUUAUUAAUUCCAACCCAAGUGAGGAAGAGAAUUUACCUUAGGACAGAGUGCGUGCGAUUCCCAUGGGAGGGCGUUAAUUACUGCGGGGGGGCUUUAAUUAACCCCUGGGGGUGCUAAUUACCCCCCGGGGGUGCUAAUUACCCCCCGGGGGUGCCCCUUUCCCAGACCCCCCCCCGGAGCUGCCCUACCUGGUGCGCCGCUCCCGCCUGCACAACCUGCCCGUGUACGCGGGGCAGCGCCAGGGCCGGCGCCUGACGGAGCUGCGCCGCAUCCACGGCGACAUCUGGGCGCUGCAGCGGGACCUGGGGGCGUUCCUGGGGUCCCUGGGGGUCCCCGAGGUGGCGGCGCAGGUGAACGAGGUGACGGGGACGCUGCGGCUGCGCGGGCACUGGGCGCCCCAGGUGCGGCAGUGGCUGCUCCAGAGGGGCUUCUAGGGAGCCCCGGGGCUGCUGGGGGACCCCAGACCUGCCCGGGACCCCCAGAGAUCGGGGGAGCCAAAGAUCUGCAAGGGGGACCCCGAAGUCUGCGAGGGAUCGGCUGUGGGAGCACCCGGAGCUGCUGGAAUGGACCCUGGGCAGGGGAAGCUCUGCUGGGAGCGCCUCCAGAUCCACCUGGAGCACCCCAAAAUCUGCUUGGAGCACCCCAAAAUCUGCCUGGACUCUGCUGUGGACAGCCCCAAAUCGCUCUGGAGCAGCCCAAAAUCUGUUGGGAUCCUGAAAUCCACAGAAAGGACCCCAAAAUCCACCUUGAGGUUCCCCAAAUCUGCUGGGAGCCCCCCAGAAAUGAAACAAACCCCCCAAAAAUGGAACAAACCCCAAUAAACUCCUCGGACGACGCCUCGCAGCCUCUUGAUUUACAGUGUACCUCCAAAAUCCACCAUGGGGCACCCCAAAAUCUCCUAGGAGCCCCCAAAAAUCAAACGAAAUCCCUCCAAAAAAAUCAAACAAACCCCCCCAAAAAUAAUCAAACAAAACCACCCCAAAAAUCAAACAAAAUCACCCAAAAAUCAAACAAAACCAUCCCAAAAAUCAAAUGAAAUCCCCCGCGCGGGACCCGGAUGUGGCGGCGCCGCCUGGCGGGCGGGAGGACCCGGAGCGCCGCCGCCACAGCGGGGUAACGGCGGAGGGAGAACCAUAGAGACGGGCGGGAGAGGCCAGAGCGGCUUCCGCUGCCGCCGCCAUGGCCACAGACACAGGAAGGAGAAACCGGAGCGGCCCAGUGGGGAAAACACCAGUAUAAACCAGUAUAAACCAGUGCAUAAACCAGUACAGGGAGCGCCGCAGCAACCGCAGAGGCUUUGGAGAGGUGCAAAAUCAUCAUAAACCAGUACAGGCGGGCGUCUCUAUGGCUGAGCCACCACAGAGGCUCUGAGGGAGGGGGAGAACCAUAGAGACGCGGCCAGAGCGGCUUCCGCUGCCUCCGCCAUUACCGUAGAGACAGGAAGGAGAAACCGGAGCGGCCCAGUGGAGAAAGCACCAGUAUAAACCAGUAUAAACCAGUACGGGGAGCGCCGCACUAAUACAAUAAACCAUUAUAAACCAGCA
ensembl:lncRNA